rnacentral:rRNA from 1 species
UAAGGAAUAUUGGUCAAUGGACGCAAGUCUGAACCAGCCAUGCCGCGUGAAGGAUGAAGGUCCUCUGGAUUGUAAACUUCUUUUAUAUGGGACGAAACCUCUUUUUCUAGAGAGACUGACGGUACCAUAGGAAUAAGCACCGGCUAACUCCGUGCCAGCAGCCGCGGUAAUACGGAGGGUGCAAGCGUUAUCCGGAUUCACUGGGUUUAAAGGGUGCGUAGGAGGGCAGGUAAGUCAGUGGUGAAAUCUCCGAGCUUAACUUGGAAACUGCCGUUGAUACUAUCUGUCUUGAAUACCGUGGAGAUGAGCGGAAUAUGUCAUGUAGCGGUGAAAUGCUUAGAUAUGACAUAGAACACCAAUUGCGAAGGCAGCUCGUUACACGAAUAUUGACUCUGAGGCACGAAAGCGUGGGGAUCAAACAGG